AACGCGAAGAACCUUACCCAGGUUUGACAUCCUGCUAAUUUCUCCGAAAGGAGAGAGUGCCUUCGGGACGCAGAGACAGGUGAUGCAUGGCCGUCGUCAGCUCGUGUCGUGAGAUGUUUGGUUAAGUCCAUCAACGAGCGCAACCCUUAUAGUUAGUUGGAUUUCUCUAGCUAGACUGCCCUGGUAACAGGGAGGAGGGAGGGGAUGAUGUCAGGUCAGUAUUUCCCUUACAUCUGGGGCCACAAACACGCUACAAUGGCCGGUACAAAGGGCAGCCAACCCGCGAGGGGGAGCAAACCCCAUCAAAGCCGGUCCCAGUUCGGAUUGCAGGCUGAAACUCGCCUGCAUGAAGCCGGAAUCGCUAGUAACGGUAGGUCAGCAUUACUACCGUGAAUACGUUCCCGGGCCUUGUACACACCGCGCAUA
rnacentral:rRNA from 1 species